UACAGAGGGGGCAAGCGUUGUUCGGAAUUACUGGGCGUAAAGGGCGCGUAGGCGGCCUGUUAAGUCGAACGUGAAAUCCCUGGGCUCAACCCAGGAACUGCGUCCGAUACUGGCAGGCUUGAAUUCGGGAGAGGGAUGCGGAAUUCCAGGUGUAGCGGUGAAAUGCGUAGAUAUCAGGAAGAACACCUAUGGCGAAGGCAGCUCUCUGGGACGGUACUGACGCUGAGACGCGAAAGCGUGGGGAGCGAACAGG
rnacentral:rRNA from 1 species